ACCGCUCGAAGCCUAGGCCCUUCUCAACGCCAGAACGGCGUCAGCUAUCGUUGAGUGUAGGAAGUUCGCCGAACUUCUCUAAGUCCAGGACCGGUUGUGGAUUUCCGUCAUUGGCAAAGUCCCCGUGCGUACAAUUUGCCGAAAUCGGUUCGCGUCAAGUGUUGUGGCCGUCGUAUAAAGGCCUUCUUUUCAAAAGGCGAAAGUGACAGGAGACGGAGGACGGAUUUUGGUGAAGCAGCGGGUACACAAACGGACGGAGUGCCGGCAAUAGCUAGGUUUCAUGGUGGAGCAGCGAGGAGGAAACUAGGAGUGGCGGAAUUUAAAACCGCCACCCUACCUUUAGAUGGGUUGAUUUUGAAUUUCGAAUCGUUACUAGACACUCUGAGAGUUGAUAUU